rnacentral:rRNA from 1 species
GGUUAAGCGACUAAGCGUACACGGUGGAUGCCCUGGCAGUCAGAGGCGAUGAAGGACGUGCUAAUCUGCGAUAAGCGUCGGUAAGGUGAUAUGAACCGUUAUAACCGGCGAUUUCCGAAUGGGGAAACCCAGUGUGUUUCGACACACUAUCAUUAACUGAAUCCAUAGGUUAAUGAGGCGAACCGGGGGAACUGAAACAUCUAAGUACCCCGAGGAAAAGAAAUCAACCGAGAUUCCCCCAGUAGCGGCGAGCGAACGGGGAGCAGCCCAGAGCCUGAAUCAGUAUGUGUGUUAGUGGAAGCGUCUGGAAAGGCGCGCGAUACAGGGUGACAGCCCCGUACACAAAAAUGCACAUAUUGUGAGCUCGAUGAGUAGGGCGGGACACGUGGUAUCCUGUCUGAAUAUGGGGGGACCAUCCUCCAAGGCUAAAUACUCCUGACUGACCGAUAGUGAACCAGUACCGUGAGGGAAAGGCGAAAAGAACCCCGGCGAGGGGAGUGAAAAAGAACCUGAAACCGUGUACGUACAAGCAGUGGGAGCACGCUUAGGCGUGUGACUGCGUACCUUUUGUAUAAUGGGUCAGCGACUUAUAUUCUGUAGCAAGGUUAACCGAAUAGGGGAGCCGAAGGGAAACCGAGUCUUAACUGGGCGUUAAGUUGCAGGGUAUAGACCCGAAACCCGGUGAUCUAGCCAUGGGCAGGUUGAAGGUUGGGUAACACUAACUGGAGGACCGAACCGACUAAUGUUGAAAAAUUAGCGGAUGACUUGUGGCUGGGGGUGAAAGGCCAAUCAAACCGGGAGAUAGCUGGUUCUCCCCGAAAGCUAUUUAGGUAGCGCCUCGUGAAUUCAUCUCCGGGGGUAGAGCACUGUUUCGGCAAGGGGGUCAUCCCGACUUACCAACCCGAUGCAAACUGCGAAUACCGGAGAAUGUUAUCACGGGAGACACACGGCGGGUGCUAACGUCCGUCGUGAAGAGGGAAACAACCCAGACCGCCAGCUAAGGUCCCAAAGUCAUGGUUAAGUGGGAAACGAUGUGGGAAGGCCCAGACAGCCAGGAUGUUGGCUUAGAAGCAGCCAUCAUUUAAAGAAAGCGUAAUAGCUCACUGGUCGAGUCGGCCUGCGCGGAAGAUGUAACGGGGCUAAACCAUGCACCGAAGCUGCGGCAGCGACGCUGAUGCGUUGUUGGGUAGGGGAGCGUUCUGUAAGCCUGUGAAGGUGUGCUGUGAGGCAUGCUGGAGGUAUCAGAAGUGCGAAUGCUGACAUAAGUAACGAUAAAGCGGGUGAAAAGCCCGCUCGCCGGAAGACCAAGGGUUCCUGUCCAACGUUAAUCGGGGCAGGGUGAGUCGACCCCUAAGGCGAGGCCGAAAGGCGUAGUCGAUGGGAAACAGGUUAAUAUUCCUGUACUUGGUGUUACUGCGAAGGGGGGACGGAGAAGGCUAUGUUGGCCGGGCGACGGUUGUCCCGGUUUAAGCGUGUAGGCUGGUUUUCCAGGCAAAUCCGGAAAAUCAAGGCUGAGGCGUGAUGACGAGGCACUACGGUGCUGAAGCAACAAAUGCCCUGCUUCCAGGAAAAGCCUCUAAGCAUCAGGUAACAUCAAAUCGUACCCCAAACCGACACAGGUGGUCAGGUAGAGAAUACCAAGGCGCUUGAGAGAACUCGGGUGAAGGAACUAGGCAAAAUGGUGCCGUAACUUCGGGAGAAGGCACGCUGAUAUGUAGGUGAAGUCCCUCGCGGAUGGAGCUGAAAUCAGUCGAAGAUACCAGCUGGCUGCAACUGUUUAUUAAAAACACAGCACUGUGCAAACACGAAAGUGGACGUAUACGGUGUGACGCCUGCCCGGUGCCGGAAGGUUAAUUGAUGGGGUUAGCCGCAAGGCGAAGCUCUUGAUCGAAGCCCCGGUAAACGGCGGCCGUAACUAUAACGGUCCUAAGGUAGCGAAAUUCCUUGUCGGGUAAGUUCCGACCUGCACGAAUGGCGUAAUGAUGGCCAGGCUGUCUCCACCCGAGACUCAGUGAAAUUGAACUCGCUGUGAAGAUGCAGUGUACCCGCGGCAAGACGGAAAGACCCCGUGAACCUUUACUAUAGCUUGACACUGAACAUUGAGCCUUGAUGUGUAGGAUAGGUGGGAGGCUUAGAAGUGUGGACGCCAGUCUGCAUGGAGCCGACCUUGAAAUACCACCCUUUAAUGUUUGAUGUUCUAACGUUGACCCGUAAUCCGGGUUGCGGACAGUGUCUGGUGGGUAGUUUGACUGGGGCGGUCUCCUCCUAAAGAGUAACGGAGGAGCACGAAGGUUGGCUAAUCCUGGUCGGACAUCAGGAGGUUAGUGCAAUGGCAUAAGCCAGCUUGACUGCGAGCGUGACGGCGCGAGCAGGUGCGAAAGCAGGUCAUAGUGAUCCGGUGGUUCUGAAUGGAAGGGCCAUCGCUCAACGGAUAAAAGGUACUCCGGGGAUAACAGGCUGAUACCGCCCAAGAGUUCAUAUCGACGGCGGUGUUUGGCACCUCGAUGUCGGCUCAUCACAUCCUGGGGCUGAAGUAGGUCCCAAGGGUAUGGCUGUUCGCCAUUUAAAGUGGUACGCGAGCUGGGUUUAGAACGUCGUGAGACAGUUCGGUCCCUAUCUGCCGUGGGCGCUGGAGAACUGAGGGGGGCUGCUCCUAGUACGAGAGGACCGGAGUGGACGCAUCACUGGUGUUCGGGUUGUCAUGCCAAUGGCACUGCCCGGUAGCUAAAUGCGGAAGAGAUAAGUGCUGAAAGCAUCUAAGCACGAAACUUGCCCCGAGAUGAGUUCUCCCUGACUCCUUGAGAGUCCUGAAGGAACGUUGAAGACGACGACGUUGAUAGGCCGGGUGUGUAAGCGCAGCGAUGCGUUGAGCUAACCGGUACUAAUGAACCGUGAGGCUUAACCUU